UACGUAGGUGGCGAGCGUUACUCGGAAUUACUAGGCGUAAAGCGCGUGUAGGCGGGAGCUUAAGUUCGCUGUUAAAUCUCAUGGCUUAACCAUGAAAUGCCGGCGAAUACUGGGCUUCUUGAAUUCGGUAGAGGAAACUGGAAUUCCAGGUGUAGCGGUGAAAUGCGUAGAUAUCUGGAAGAACGCCAAAGGCGAAGGCAGGUUUCUGGGCCGCAAUUGACGCUGAGACGCGAAAGCUAGGGGAGCAAACAGG
rnacentral:rRNA from 1 species